GGCCUCGUAGCUGAGCUGGUAGAGCAUACGCGUAAAAAGCGUAGGCAGCGUCCGUGCGCGGGUUCGAAUCCCACCGAGGUUA
rnacentral:tRNA from 1 species